AGAGCGAAGGCUGCAGCGCGCCCGGCAGCCGGGAUGCAGCGGCGCCGCCCAAGCCUGGGGCGCAGGGGUCGGGGCACACGGGGAUAGGCCCGACGCGGGGCCGAAGGAAGGGUGGUCUUUCCCGCAGAGUUGCCGCUGGAGGACCGAAAGUUUUGCAGGCAGCCCUUGCUUCCAGCUUGUCACUCUCUCCCCGCGUCCCUGUCGCCCAACGCGAGGCGCCCCGGUUGGGGUCCCGACGGCUUGGUGGGGAGGAGCCGUGAGGGGUUGCGCCCCCCACCCCCACCCGAGCCAGGGAAGGGACCCUGGUGACCUCGCCUCCCAGCCCUCACCCCCGUCACCCCUUUCUUCUCUUUCCCGGAGGACUUUGGACCAUGGAGAUUCUGCAGUUGUUGCUCUGGGAGCUGAAACCAGUGGGUAGAUGUCGUUCUGAAACGCAGUUCUUCUUUUUGUAAAGGUGUGUCCUGAGGAACCUCAGAUUUGAAAGAAGAGUGAAUGGAAGUCAAAUGUGGAAACCACUCAAAUGUCCAUCAACUGAUGAAUGAAUAAACAAAUCGUGGUAUAUCCAUACAAGGAAUAUUAUUCACCCAUAAAAAGGAAUGAAGUCUUAAUACACCUACAACUGGAUGAACAUUGAAAACAUUAUGCUAUCCAUUCUGCUUCAGACCGGAAAGGAGAAACAGUCUUAUCUGCAUAAAAGUCCUGGUACUGCUGUAUCUCAUACUAUAAGUUCAGUUUUCUCCCUUCACCUGAGGGUAAGUUGAAGAAUAACUUCAUAAGCCAGGGAGAGAUACGUUUGGAUCAGGAGUUAGUGAUAACAGGGGGAGAAACACUACACCUAAUCCUCUUACCUGCUACAGGCAAUGUGGCAGAGAAUUCUCCACCUGGGACUUCAGUGCACAAGUUUUCUGUGAAGUUAUCAGCAUCACUGUCACCUGUGAUCCCAGGAUUUCCCCAGAUAAUCAACUCAAAUCCCCUCACUGAAGCUUUUAGGGUGAAUUGGCUGUCAGGCACCUACUUUGAGGUUGUCACCACUGGGAUGGAACAACUAGAUUUUGAAACAGGACCAAACAUAUUUGAUUUGCAGAUUUAUGUGAAGGAUGAGGUUGGUGUCACAGACCUGCAAGUCCUGACUGUCCAGGUAACAGAUGUGAAUGAGCCACCUCAGUUUCAAGGCAACUUGGCGGAAGGUCUAUACCUCUACAUAGUAGAAAGAGCAAACCCUGGAUUCAUUUACCAGGUUGAGGCCUUCGAUCCAGAAGACACAAGCCGAAACAUUCCCCUCAGUUGACUGGUACAAUCCAAGUGGCCCAAAGGAUAGACCGAGACGCAGGUGAAUUGAGACAAAAUCCCACCAUUUCCCUGGAAGUUCUAGUGAAGGACAGACCAUAUGGGGGUCAGGAGAAUCGCAUCCAGAUAACCUUCAUUGUGGAAGACGUCAACGACAAUCCUGCCACAUGCCAAAAGUUCACCUUCAGCAUUAUGGUGCCGGAAAGAACAGCCAAGGGGACGUUGCUUCUUGACCUGAACAAGUUCUGCUUUGAUGAUGACAGUGAGGCACCAAACAACAGAUUCAACUUCACCAUGCCAUCUGGAGUGGGGAGCGGCAGCAGAUUUUUACAGGAUCCAGCUGGCUCUGGGAAAAUUGUGCUGAUUGGUGAUCUAGACUACGAAAAUCCAAGUAACCUAGCAGCCGGCAAUAAAUAUACGGUGAUAAUCCAGGUGCAGGAUGUGGCCCCCCCUUACUAUAAAAAUAACGUCUACGUUUAUAUCCUAACAAGCCCAGAAAAUGAGUUUCCUCUCAUUUUUGAUAGGCCAUCCUAUGUAUUUGAUGUGUCAGAAAGAAGGCCGGCCCAGGGUCACCUAUCAGGUCCUGAGGAAAAACAUUUACUCUCCAUCUGCAUGGUACGUGCCAUUUGUCAUCACUUUGGGCUCCAUAUUGCUUCUGGGUCUCUUCGUGUACCUGGUCGUCCUAUUGGCCAAAGCCAUCCACAGACACUGCCCCUGCAAGACUGGGAAGAACAAGGAACCUCUGACAAAGAAAGGAGAAACGAAGACUGCAGAGAGAGACGUCGUGGUGGAAACUAUCCAGAUGAACACUAUCUUUGAUGGAGAAGCCAUAGAUCCAGUGACCGGGGAAACAUAUGAAUUCAACUCAAAAACUGGAGCCAGAAAGUGGAAAGAUCCACUAACCCAAAUGCC
rnacentral:sRNA from 1 species